rfam:Nippostrongylus brasiliensis genome assembly, scaffold: NBR_scaffold0000201
ACAUCGGUAGCACAGUGGUUAGUGCAGUCUGCCGGAAAUAGAAAGACGCGGGUUCAAUUCCCGUCCGAUGUC